UACAUCCGGGAAGCGUCGGGUUUAGGCUCCGAGGUUAAGUAAGGUACGGUGUCGCGUUUUGUGCGCUAAGGUGGUAAUUGGGGCAGAACUUUUUGGCUUAGUUAAAAUGCAGGAGUUUCAAGAGACUUGUAGCGGCAGGUCCACGUCCGCUUUGAAGACCUCUUGGUUCGAAAACCUGAGGGGCCCUAGGUGUUCAUGAGGUCCCGAGGCGGCCACGUGCAGCCCUGGGUGGCGAGCCUGAAGCCGAGCGCGCACGGGUCGCGGCCCUCCGGCAAAGGUCGCGAAACUGCUGUCGGUGUCAAGUAGCCGUCUUGAGUCUACUCCGCCGCUGUCAAAUAGUAACACCGCAUCCUGAUCCUCCCCCAUUUAGAUCCGGAAGGAGGCUGAACUAACUGUUGCGGUGGAUGAUAGGAAACAUGACAUGAUAAUCAAGAAAUUAAGGUGAAGUCCUGUUUGUUUAGAAUCCUGUGGUGCACUGCCAAAAGGGGAUCUUAAAUCUCAACAGCUUGGGUAUUGAGUGGCAAAUAAUGUUCUGGAAACUUAUCAGCGUGGUGUUUUCAAUAUAGGUCUGAAUGUUUUAGCCUAACUGGCGUUUAAGUAGAGAAUAAGUGAGCACUUCCUUGCUUGCUGUAAUUAAAUAAAAUGCUUGAUUCAU